rnacentral:rRNA from 1 species
UACGAAGGGUGCAAGCGUUGUUCGGAUUUAUUGGGCGUAAAGCGCGCGCAGGCGGAUGAUUAAGUCAGAUGUGAAAUCUCGGGGCUCAACCCCGAACGUGCGUCUGAAACUGAUUGUCUAGAAUGUCACAGGGGGUAGAGGAAUUUCACAUGUAGGGGUAAAAUCCGUAGAUAUGUGAAGGAACACCGGAGGCGAAGGCGUCUACCUGGUUGAAUAUUGACGCUGAGGCGCGAAAGCGUGGGGAGCAAACAGG